rnacentral:lncRNA from 1 species
ACAUCCUGUGAUCACACCUGGGGAUCACAUCCUGAUAUCACACCCUGGGAUCAUACCCAGGGAUCAUCCUGGGAUCACAUCCUGGGAUCACAUCCUGGGAUCACACCCUGGGAUCACACCUGGGGAUCACAUCCUGGGAUCACCCCCUGGGAUCACACUCUGGGAUCAUCCUGGGAUCACACCCUGGGAUCAUCCUGGGAUCACACCCUGGGGUCACACCCUGGGAUCACAUCCUGGGAUCACAUCCCUGUCCCACCCCUGAGCCCCCCUGUCCCACCACAACCGCUCCCGCUGCUCCCCAAAGUCUCCAGGUGUCCCCCUGUCCUUGUACUGCACCGGACACGGCUCCAGUAUGGACAUCAUGGCACCAGACUGGACAUCAUGGCACCAGUAUGGACAUCAUGGCACCAGUAUGGACAUCAUGGCACCAGACUGGACAUCAUGGCACCAGUAUGGCCACGGCACCAGUAUGGACAUCAUGGCACCAGUAUGGACAUCAUGGCACCAGUAUGGAUGUGGCACCAGUAUGGACAAGGCACUGUACUGGACGUUACACUGUACUGGGCAUGGCACCAGUAUGGCCAUCAUAGCACCAGUAUUGACAUCAUGGCACCAGUAUGGACAUGGCACCAGUAUGGACGUGGCACCAGUAUUGACAUCAUGGCACCAGUAUGGACAUGGCACCGGUAUGGAUACGGCACCAGUAUGGAUACGGCACCGGUAUGGACGUGGCACCAGUAUGGACGUGGCACUGGUAUGGACACGGCACCAGUAUGGAUACGGCACCGGUAUGGACGUGGCACUGGUAUGGAUGUGGCACCGGUAUGGACAUGGCACCAGUACGGACGUGGCACCGCACUGGACAUCACACUGUACUGGCCGUGGCACUGUCCCUGCCGAGGCCGGUGUGUGGCAGGGCCGCGGUGCAGGACCCGGCCCCAGGCCACCGCUGUCCCCACAGUGCCAGUGCCGGGCUGGGCCCCAGGGUCGGCACCCUGUGCACAGCUGUGGCACAACUCCGGUGCCACCGGGUGACGCUCCGGGUGACAACAGUGUCCCCGUCCCCUGCG